rnacentral:misc_RNA from 1 species
UUUUGACGUUCAAACCGAAGUGUGCGUUCUUGAAACAAAUUUUCGAAUAUCUCGCUUUUAAAUAAUCCUGUUAAUAGAAUUGCUUCUUAUUAGUGUUAUAGAUGUUAUAUUAAGCGGCCAUUUNUAGUAUGGAUCCGAAUGUACAAGGUUUAGUGGACGUUUUGCAACAAACUUUCUCGCCUGACACGGCGGUUCGAAAGCAAGCUGAGAAAGCUUUGGAGUCAGUGGAAGGAACACCAAACUACAGUAUANUGUUAAUGAACAUCGCCAAUUGUGAUAGUGUUGAUGUGAAUAUAAGAGUAUCUGCUACAGUGACAUUUAAAAAUUUGGUCAAAAGAAACUGGAGAAUUAUUGAAGGUGAACCAAAUAAGAUAAAUGAAGCAGACAGAGCUGCAGUAAAAGCCCAAAUUGUUGACUUAAUGUUAAAAAGUCCAGAAAAAUUACAAAAACAGUUAAGUGAUGCCAUCAGCAUCAUUGGUCAUGAGGAUUUCCCAAAAAACUGGGAAAGUUUAUUACCAGACAUGGUAAACAGGCUGGGNAGUGGUGAUUUUCACAUUAUCAACGGAGUUCUAGUCACUGCACAUUCCUUAUUCAAAAGAUAUCGCCAUGAGUUUAAAUCACAAGAGCUCUGGGCAGAGAUCAAAUUUGUGUUGGAAAAAUUUGCAGAACCUCUUACCAAUUUAUUUAAGGCUAUUUUAGAACAAGCAAAUAAAUGUGGAGAGGACAAAAAUAUGUUACAAAUUGUGUUCAGUUCCAUUCUUCUUAUUUGCAAGCUGUUCUACAGUCUCAACUUCCAGGAUCUUCCAGAGCAUUUUGAGGACAACAUGGAGGUCUGGAUGAAAAACUUUCUGAUUCUCUUGUCACUUGAUAACAAGAUACUUGACACUGGAGAUAAUGAAGAAGCCAGUCUNUUGGAGCUUGUUAAAUCACAAAUAUGUGAUAACGUUGGACUUUAUGCUCAGAAAUAUGAUGAAGAAUUUGAGAAAUACUUGCCUGAUUUUGUAACAGCCAUUUGGAACCUAUUAUUAACAACAGACUCAAAUGUAAAACAUGAUUUGUUGGUCAGCAAUGCUAUUCAGUUUCUUGCAUCUGUCUCACAAAGACCUAAUUAUAAACAUCUGUUUGAGGCUCAAAAUACUCUACAAAGUAUUUGUGAGAAAGUUAUCGUGCCCAACAUGGAAUUCAGAGAUGACGAUGAGGAGAUUUUUGAAGACAAUCCCGAAGAGUACAUUAGAAGAGACAUUGAAGGAUCUGAUGUUGACACUAGGCGACGUGCAGCUUGUGACUUAGUGAGAGGACUGUCAAAGUUUCAUGAGCAGCAUGUGACAGGAAUAUUUCAACAUUAUGUUAUGGUGCUGCUAGAGCAAUAUAAAUCAACAAACCAAGAGAAUUGGAAAUCAAAAGAUGCAGCUAUAUUUCUGGUCACUUCACUUGCUUCGAAAAAGCAAACUGCAAAGCACGGAACCACAAAAGCCAGUGAUUUUUUUGAUUUGGGAGACUUCUUUGUAAAGUACAUUCUACCAGAACUCCAAAUAAAAGAUGUUGAUGCCCAUCCUGUGUUAAAGGCUGAUUCUAUUAAAUAUGUCAUUACCUUUAGAAGCAUGCUAUCAAGGGAUGCAUUGCUCAAUGUAAUCCCAAUCUUAAUGAAUCAUUUGAAGGCAAAGAGUAUGGUAGUACACACCUAUGCUGCACAUUGCUUGGAACGACUUUUUACACUCAAGAAUCCUGGUGGAGGCCCACCAAUAAGCAAAGAAGAGGUGAGCCAAGUCAGCCAGAACCUGAUUCAAAGUCUAUUUGCUGUUCUAAACAUCCAAGGUUCUGAAGAAAAUGAAUAUGUAAUGAAAGCAAUAAUGAGAACNUUGUCAUUGCUACAAGAGUUAGUGACACCUGUUCUUGAUCCUGUUUUGGCAAAACUCACUGAGAAGCUAACAGCAGUUGCAAAGAAUCCAAGCAAACCUCACUUCAACCACUAUUUGUUUGAAACCAUCUGCUGUAUUUUAAGAAAUGCAUGCAAAGCAAAUCCAGGACUAGUAUUGAAGUUUGAGGAAUCUUUAUUUCCAAUCUUUCAUCAAAUUCUCACAACUGAUGUCACAGAAUUUAUGCCAUAUGUAUUCCAAGUAUUGUCCCUUCUGUUGGAGAUUCGAGUGGAUGACAUCCCUGAAGCUUAUAUGCAGUUAUUCCCUUCUCUGCUUACUCCAUUACUAUGGGAAAGAGUUGGAAAUAUCCCACCAUUAGUGAGACUAUUGCAGGCAUACAUUCAAAAAGGCAGUCAACUCAUCAUAGCAAAUAACAACCUGGAUGCCAUUCUUGGUGUGUUUCAAAAGCUUAUAUCAUCAAAAUCCAAUGACCACGAAGGUUUUUAUUUGAUGAGCAGCAUAAUUGAGCACAUGGACCGGGCUGCCCUGCAGGAUUAUAUGCCAAAGAUAUUUAUUUUACUCUUUCAUCGACUACAAAACUCUAAAACAACCAAGUUUAUCAAGACUCUUCUUGAGUUUUUCAGUNUGUUUGCAGUGAAGAACUCUGGAUCAGCUCUGAUUGACGUCAUCGACAAUAUUCAGCCCAAGUAUCAGGAAACAUGGAGCGCAAAGUUUGUGCUGUUGGUAUUACAAAACUGUUAUGUGAACCUACGGCGACUUGGUCCAGAUAUCCUGAUCACUGGGGUUCUUUGCUUGAAGCACUUGUAAAAGUUUUUGAAUUGCCUAAUGACGAUUCUGUACCAGACGAUGAACAUUUUAUUGAAAUCGAAGAUACACCAGGCUAUCAAACUGCGUAUUCCAAGUUGGUAUUUGCUGGUAAAAACGAAAAUGAUCCUUUUGGUGGUGGUAUCCCCAAUGCCAAGUUAUUCCUUGUACAGUCACUGGUAACUCUUUCGCAAGCCCAACCUGGAAA